UUAACAUCAUCUUUGAGCAGAAGCAAAUUGGAUAUACCAAUUUCCUUAUGCAAAUAUUAGAAAACUCAGAACCUUUGGAAAUCGUAUCUUGAAAAGGAAAAUACUCACGAAAUGGAAAAAACACUAGGAGAUAUGAUUAGUAACCUCAACCUGGAUAGUGUAGAUCCAUACUUGAAUAUAGAGCAUCAAGAUCACAAGCAAACGAUUUCAGAAAUACCAAUUGAUAUCAAGGCGAAGAAUCCAAAAGCGUAUCAGCCGAAAAUGGUGUCUAUCGGUCCAUACCACUUCGGGAAACCACACUUGAUGUCUAUGCAACUCGACAAACAAAGAUCACUAUUUCAUUUCCUUAAGAGAUCAAGCGUUCCAGUCGAAUCGUACUUUGACAAAUUGAAAGCAGUUGUCACUCUCUUAAGGGAAUCUUAUGAGCAACUAGACCACAUGGAAAAUUGGCAAGAUGAUGAUAUAUUCAUUCAACUCAUGUUAAUAGAUGGAGUUUUUCUUUUCGAAUUUUUGUCCGUCAUUAGGGGUAACCAAAACAAUUAUGAUUACGCUACUAAUGAUCCUAUAUUCGGCUAUGAAGGACAUAUGUUGAUCUAUGACACCGUCAUGCAAGAUCUGUUGUUAUAAAGAACCAACUGCCUUAUUUGGUACUCUCUACUUUGCUUUCUGUUUCCGAAGGCCUGCCAGAACAGAGCGUAAAUAGCAUCCUCUCCUGGAUGAUGUUUGCACCAAAAAAAGGUCCUGGGUUGCAUUUGUUGGACAUGUACAUGAAGGGAUUACUGGAUGAAAGCCAACCUGCAAUAGAGAAAGAUCAAGAUGCGGAUAAAACACAUGUACGUCUCUCGGCGUCCAAGCUACACAAGUAUGGCAUCCAAUUCAAAAGGGUACAGAGUUUCAACGGGAUUAAGUUUGAAAAGAACACUGCAACACUAACACUUCCUUCGAUCCUCAUUAACCAACAUACUGUACCUAGAUUUCUAAACCUCAAAGCCUAUGAACUUCGUACCGGUACCAAGGAGUUGAGUUCUUACAUUGAUAUCUUGGACUGUCUUAUCCAGUCGGCUAAUGACGUUAGCCCACUGUGCUCCCAAGGGAUAAUCGUUAAUUCUUUAGGGAGUGAUGAAGCUGUUGUUGAAGUAAUGAAGGAAAUCACAAAAGAUAAAGUGCAACGAGACAAGGAUUAUAUGUCUAGUGUGGUGCUGAAAGAGAUAAAUGACUAUUAUGGAAAAGGUGCAGUGGUUAAAUGCAGAAGGUCCGGUAAUAAAUUGGCUUCAACGGUACUAGGGAGAAUGAAUUAUCUUUGCUACUCACUCUUCUAAAAUUUUACAGAUGCAACGAUUAAAAUAGUUGUGAGCCUUAAGUCUACUGCUUUUUCAAUGUUUGAUUGGUGAUUUACUUUGUAAGCCUUUUUGAUUUCUGGUUUUGGGUACUGGCUUAAUUGCAAAUUAUAUUACUUUUUUUGUUGCUGAA